rnacentral:rRNA from 1 species
CGUGGCCAACCUGCCCUUGGGACGGAAGCACCCCCGGGAAACUGGGGCUAAUUUCCGAUAGGGGAAGACUCCUGGAAUGGAUUUUCGCCUAAAAGGCGCUUAGAGCAUGCUUCUAGGUGUUGCCCAAGGAUGGGGCCGCGGCCGAUCAGGUUGUUGGUGAGGUAACGGCUCACCAAGCCUUUAACCGGUGCGGGCCGUGGGAGCGGGAGCCCGGAGAUGGGCACUGAGACAAGGGCCCAGGCCCUACGGGGAGCAGCAGUCGCGAAAACUUCGCAAUAAGCGAAAGCUUGACGGGGCUAUCCCGAGUGCCAUCCGCUGAGGAUGGCUUUUCCCUAGUAUAGAUAGCUGGGGGAAAAAGGAGAGGGCAAGUCUGGUGUCAGCCGCCGCGGUAAUACCAGCUCUCCGAGUGGUGGGGAUGAUUAUUGGGCCUAAAGCAUCCGUAGCCGGCUGGGCAAGUCCCCUGUUAAACCCAGCGAUCUAAUCGUUGGCCUGCGGGGGAUACUGCUUGGCUAGGGGGCGAGAGAGGCCGUCGGUAUUCCCGGGGUAGGGGUGAAAUCCUAUAAUCCCGGGAGGACCACCAGUGGCGAAGGCUGUCGGCUAGAACGCGCCCGACGGUGAGGGAUGAAAGCUGGGGGAGCGAACCGGAUUAGAUACCCGGGUAGUCCCAGCUGU